rnacentral:rRNA from 1 species
UACGGAGGGUGCACGCGUUAAUCGGAAUUACUGGGCGUAAAGCUCACGCAGGCGGCUUGUUAAGUCGGAUGUGACAUCCCCGGGCUCACCCUGGGAAUUGCAUUCGAUACUGGCAAGCUAGAGUAUGUGAGAGGGGGGUAGAAUUCCAAGUGUAGCGGUGAAAUGCGUAGAGAUUUGGAGGAAUACCAGUGGCGAAGGCGGCCCCCUGGCACACUACUGACGCUCAGGUGCGAAAGCGUGGGGAGCAAACAGG